CAAAAAAAAGAUAAUUGACAAGGCAAGGCAAACUGCCGACACAGAGCAACACUAGAAUCCUGGAAUACGGCAACACCUUAGAUUCUGACAAUGAUUGUAAACAUUUACCAGAACAAUAUCUGUUUGUAAGAUGGGAGAACGUCUCGAAAUGAAUAUGUAUUUAUCCUGGUCGCGCUUCUAGCAUUUUUAAUCGCGAUGCUGUGAUGUUACCUGUGUUCGC